AACGCGAAGAACCUUACCUGGCCUUGACAUCCACGGAAUUUGGCAGAGAUGCCUUAGUGCCUUCGGGAACCGUGAGACAGGUGCUGCAUGGCUGUCGUCAGCUCGUGUUGUGAAAUGUUGGGUUAAGUCCCGCAACGAGCGCAACCCUUAUCCUUUGUUGCCAGCCAGUAAUGGUGGGAACUCAAAGGAGACUGCCGGUGAUAAACCGGAGGAAGGUGGGGAUGACGUCAAGUCAUCAUGGCCCUUACGGCCAGGGCUACACACGUGCUACAAUGGCGCAUACAAAGAGAAGCGACCUCGCGAGAGCAAGCGGACCUCAUAAAGUGCGUCGUAGUCCGGAUCGGAGUCUGCAACUCGACUCCGUGAAGUCGGAAUCGCUAGUAAUCGUAGAUCAGAAUG
rnacentral:rRNA from 1 species